GGUGAACGCUGGCGGCAGGCUUAACACAUGCAAGUCGGACGGGAGGAGGGUUUUCCAGUGGCGGACGGGGGAGCAACGGGUGAGAAGGUGCGCAUGGGAGGGGAACCACAGCUGGAAACGGCUGCUAAUAACCCGUAGGCAGGGGAGCAAAAGGAGGAAUCCGCGGGAGGAGGGGCUUGCGUCUGAGUAACUAGGUGGUGGGGCCAUAGCUUACCAAGGCGAUGAUCAGUAGCUGGUAAGAGUGGAUGAUCAGCCACACUGGGACUGGGACACGGCCCAGGCACCUACGGGCAGCAGCAGUAAGGCUGUUUCCGCCAUGGGCCAUGGCCUGACGGAGCCUUGCCGCGUUGAGGUAGAAUGCCCACGGGUCAUGAACUGCUUUUCCCGAACACGAAGCACUGACGGUAUCUAGGGAAUAAGCAUCGGCUAACUCUGUG
rnacentral:rRNA from 1 species